GAUAACAUUACUGCAGAUGGAACAUAAUUUUGACAUUAUGAAUCAUGCUUGCCGAGCCUUAACAUAUAUGAUGGAAGCGCUCCCUCGGUCAUCUGCUGUUGUAGUAGAUGCUAUCCCUGUUUUCUUAGAAAAGCUGCAAGUUAUUCAGUGUAUUGAUGUGGCAGAGCAGGCCUUGACUGCCUUGGAGAUGUUGUCACGGCGACACAGUAAAGCCAUCUUACAGGCGGGUGGUUUGGCAGACUGCUUGUUGUAUCUCGAAUUCUUCAGCAUCAAUGCCCAAAGAAAUGCACUAGCAAUUGCAGCCAAUUGCUGCCAGAGCAUCACACCAGAUGAGUUUCAUUUUGUGGCAGAUUCCCUACCAUUGCUUACCCAAAGGCUAACUCAUCAGGACAAAAAGUCAGUGGAAAGCACUUGCCUUUGUUUUGCACGUUUAGUGGACAACUUUCAGCACGAGGAGAACUUACUGCAACAGGUUGCUUCCAAAGAUCUACUCACAAAUGUCCAACAACUGUUGGUAGUGACUCCACCAAUUUUAAGUUCUGGGAUGUUUAUUAUGGUGGUUCGCAUGUUUUCUCUGAUGUGUUCCAACUGUCCAACAUUAGCUGUUCAACUUAUGAAACAAAACAUUGCAGAAACACUUCACUUCCUCCUAUGUGGUGCCUCCAAUGG
rnacentral:lncRNA from 1 species